rnacentral:rRNA from 1 species
UUGGAGGGCAAGUCUGGUGCCAGCAGCCGCGGUAAUUCCAGCUCCAAUAGCGUAUAUUAAAGUUGUUGCAGUUAAAAAGCUCGUAGUUGAAUUUCGGGGUCAGCAGGUUGGUCGUGCCACUGGUAUGCACUGGCUUCGCUGAUCCCUCCUUCUUGAAGAACUGUAAUGUCAUUAAUUUGGUGUUGCAGGGAAACAGGACUGUUACUUUGAAAAAAUUAGAGUGUUUAAAGCAGGCUAACGCUUGAAUACAUUAGCAUGGAAUAAUGAAAUAGGACGUUUGAUCCUAUUUUGUUGGUUUCUAGGAUUGACGUAAUGAUUAAUAGGGAUAGUUGGGGGCAUUAGUAUUCAAUUGUCAGAGGUGAAAUUCUUGGAUUUAUUGAAGACUAACUACUGCGAAAGCAUUUGCCAAGGAUGUUUUCAUUAAUCAAGGACGAAAGUUAGGGGAUCGAAGACGAUCAGAUACCGUCGUAGUCUUAACCAUAAACUAUGCCGACUAGGGAUCGGAUGAUGUUAAUUUUUUAAUGACUCAUUCGGCGCCUUACGGGAAAC